CUCUGGGUGGUGGAAGACAAGAGUAAGGGAAUUUCAGAAGGAUUUGGGACUUUCUGCUGUGGAAUUGCAUUGUGAACAGCUUCAGACCCUGUUCUGGGGGUCCUCCCAUGAUUUGUGAGAGCAAACACCACUAAAAGUCAAGGUUUGUUGUCACAUCUUCUUGGCUGUUUCCUGGUGCAGAGAUCCUGACAUCUCCAAAUACAGCUGCAAAAUGAGUAUGUAAGUAUAUCUGUGCUCUCAACCAUAUGCAUCAUCAGUGGCAUAGGUUUUUCUCUAACAUAUUUUGAGGUGAUUUAUGCUUUUAUUUGUGAUGUCAUGGUCUUUUGAACCAUUUUCAUUUAACAUUGAGCAAAACUUCUCAUUACUCCUCUGGUUAAAAAUUAUGCAAAUAAUAAACAAGCCACCUGCAGUGUUUUUUUUAAUAGGACUGCCCUUCCAUGGAACAACUGUGAUAAAAACAACUUCAUAGCUUGUAUUUAUUAACUGCUUUUUCAUUAUUUGAUAUGUUUGUUUUUCUCGAUUUAAAAUUGUAAAUUAUAAAGAUGAGGUUUUGAGUUUUAAAAUUAUAAAGAUGAGGUUUUGAGGUUUUGACUUUUGCUGAAGAAAACUGCCUGGUUUAAAAGAACUUGCUGUAUUGAGACAAGGUAUGAGGGAAUGCCAGUAUUUAUUUUUGUACCUGUUUCUCUCUUUCCUGGAGAUACAGGGUGUGCUGGACUUCUGUCACUGUGAGUGGUUUUUAUAAACAGUUUUCUCCACAUUUUCCUGUUACCUGAUUGAGGUGUGCUAUUGAGAAUCCUGAGGAUCUCAGUGAAAGCUAGUGUAAAUAAUUCAAAGUUCCUUCCUAGGUACUGAGCAACUAAGUACUACGUAGUCAAUAGUGAUUUACUAGCAGAACAUCACCUACUUCUUACAGAGUUUUUUGUGAUUUUUUUUUUUAUUUUACUGGAAAAACUUCAGGCUGUAUCAGCUAACAAUAGCUACACUAUCAGCAAAUAUUAUUACCUACAUAUUUUUCCUUAUUCUUUUUCAUUCCUAGUUUGCUCCACUGCUUCUGUGACCUACCUGUGUUAAACACUCUGUUACCUGUGUCUUUGGAUGAACUUCAUGUAAGGACAAAAUACACAGCAGCUGGUGAUGACAUUUAAAGAUAAAAAGCCAAAACAAAUACCUUCAAGUAUUUUUCCAUUCUUUGACGUGUACCCCACGGUAUUUUAAUGCCUGUUGUCAUAAGAGAUGGACCAAAAAAGCCAUUUUUUCCUAUCAGCGGCUCCUCCCUCUCCCUGCCUGCCUCUAUUCCUGCCUCCCCCUUCUCCAAACCAAACCAAACCCUUAUUUGGAUUCUGUCUGCAGCUGACCUGAAUGAGGAGAAAAUAAAAACACUUCAACAGAGGCAUAUUUUACUAAGUAUCCCGACCUUAAUUCAUUGUCUGGCCGAUUGUGCAGAUCCUUGUCUAACGAUUUUCUGUUGUUCCCUGAGGCCAGAGGCUUCCUCUGCAGCCUGGUGAAGUUCCUCUUACUAUUGAAGGACUCCUCUUGCUUCAGCAAGAAUUUUGGGACAAAAAUAGAACUUUAAUUGGAAAACUAAGCUGGUGUCAUGUAGAAAUGUAGGGAGCUCAGAAGAACUGGAAGGAUUGAUGUGUCAUAAUUGGAUUGAAUCUGUCAGCACAGAGAGAGCAAGUGCAGAAACUGAGGUGAGGUGAGUUGGGUUUGCUGUGAAUGACUUUCAGAGCUGGGUUGUCAGAUAAUGAGUGUUCUUGCCAGUGAAUUGUUGGUUUGCAGCUUUUUAUCAUGCUAAAUAAGCUUCCUCAUGGCCCAUUCUCCAACUUCCUUCUCUACAAGUAAGAGUGGAGUUAUCUAAGAUCUCAUCACUAAUGCUACUCAGUGCAGCAGUAGUUCCUCAGCAGCCUUCAGUCCAAGGCUUUACUAUUUGACCAGUUUUGUCUCUCAAACAGUUUUUUAUUGCCUGUCUGUAAAUUAAUCUUCUGUAUUUUUAAGCACCUGCCACAAACAUUUCAGCAUUUGCCAAUUUUGGAUCUAAAAAUGUCUGCUCAGUUAUACCAUGGUAGAUCCACACUGAAUUCCCACAGCUGUAAGUGAAUUCUGAUAGACUGAGUGCUGCUGCCUCUUGAUCUAAGUUUGGAAUGAAAAGAGGAAGAAUGGAUUAAACCUCCUGUUUUCAUUUCCAUCGUGACCUCUGAAUACUUUUUCUUUUAGUGUAAGUGAAGUUACCACUAAGUCAGUGACCUCUAACUCUGACUGACUAGUGUACACACAAACCACAUCCCCAUUCUUUACCAGAAAGCUUUUCAAAUUCCUCUCUUGUUAGCACACAGAACAUACUUGGAAGCCAUGCACUAGAAGCUCCAGCAUUCCCAAUUCUCUGGAAGUGUGGUUCUAUGUGAAACCUUAUUUCUGCUAUUCAGGCAUUUACAGAAAAUGACAUUUUAGAGCUGUCACUCUGUGGGUUUGAUUUUCCAGGCCAGUGCAGCAUCCCACACUUCUCCAAGCUCUCCCCAUUCUCUCACUCCAUGGUACAUUAGACACACACUUCUUCAAGCAAUUUCCCACAGAAUUAAUGUUCCCUUUUUUCUUUCAGGAGUUUCACCAUUUCUCCCUCUGGUCAGGUCUCCAAUAGCUACUUCUGUGUUCACCAUCGUGUGAAUCAGAGUCACCCAGGCUGUGGGUGAACCAACAGUAUGAGCAGUACCUCGACAAGAGGAGCAGUUUCUUUCCAAGUCUGUCAGCUGUCUGUCUGUCAACACAUAAUCAUUCAUUUCCUGAGCAGAAGUACUGCAUCCCAUCAGCUGUGAUACUCUUGACAGGGAUCCUUUUCACUGUAGGUCUUCCUGCCUUCCACUUGCAAAUGAAGGGAAGCUUCUAGCAAGCCAAGUUCUGCUCAUCAUGUUUCAAAGCUUCGGGAAGACAGGAAGUAUUUAGGUAAGGAGAAGCUGUGCCUUUGGCCCUUCGUAUUCACCCUGUGAUGGGGGUACAAUAAACUUUUGGACACAA